rnacentral:rRNA from 1 species
CUACGGGGGGCACCAGUGGGGAAUAUUGGACAAUGGGGGAAACCCUGAUCCAGCAAUGCCGCGUGUGUGAAGAAGGCCUGCGGGUUGUAAAGCACUUUCGGUUGGGAGGACUGCUUCUAGCACUAAUAUUGUUGGAAGUUGACGUUACCUUCAGAAGAAGCACCGGCUAACUCCGUGCCAGCAGCCGCGGUAAUACGGGAGGGUGCAAGCGUUAAUCGGAAUUACUGGGCGUAAAGCGCGCGUAGGCGGCUAGAUCAGUCGGGUGUGAAAGCCCCGGGCUUAACCUGGGAACUGCAUCCGAUACUGUCUAGCUUGAGUACAGGAGAGGAGAGUGGAAUUCCACAUGUAGCGGUGAAAUGCGUAGAUAUGUGGAGGAACACCAAUGGCGAAGGCAGCUCUCUGGCCUGAUACUGACGCUGAGGUGCGAAAGCGUGGGGAGCAAACAGGAUUAGAUACCCUUCGUAGUC